CGAAGAACCUAUCUGUCAACUUCCACCAUCCCACUAAGACUUGAGAAAGAAGCCCUCCAUCUGCCCGCAACAAUGAAACUUUACACAUUGUUUCUGAUCGUCAUCCUCGCAGCCCUGCUGCUGCUAGGACAAACCGAGGCUGGUCGAUUGAAAAAAUUCGGCAAGAAAGUGGAGAAAGCAGGCAAGAGAGUGUUUAAAGCCGCCGAAAAGGCUGUCCCCGUCGCCGUUGGGGCCCAGGCACUAGGACGCUAAGUGUACAGAGCAGCAAAGUGCCGAAAAUAUUUUACCCGUUUCAAAUGAACGAGAGAUAAAGGACGAUUGGUGUCAAAUUAAAAUUGGUAGUUAAAACUGUUGUAACAUGAAAUUAAUGAAAAUGGCAUAUCGGCAUAUUCAAUAGCAAACCAAAGUAAAAUGUAUAGGUAUUUUUUUUUCUUCCUCCGUAUGGGUCACGUGUAGCAAUAAAUAGAUAAAAAUUUCAAACCUUAUUUUGAUUUGAAACAACGUAAAUGAAUUGGAUCAAUUAUCUUCGUUUGCAUUCUUUGAAUUUGAACUGGACAAAUACUAGAUAUAGCAUUCCGCGUCGAACACCCGACAGAAACGGACGUGCAAAGUGAUCGUUCUAUUACAAUCCGGUCCGUGUGUACGAAUAGCCAAACAAAAGAGUGUAUUAUUCAAGGCCAUCAGUUGACAGUCGAGUCCGUGUCGCUGUGCUGAGUGAUCUCACACCCGGCUCACUGCUGGUGGCUGCAUUGGUGCUGCUGUACUGGUGCUGCUGGCUGCUUUGGGUGCAGCUUCGAACGAUCGGACAACCACUGCUGGAAGGAAGAAGUAAAGAGCGGAAACUGCUUUGU